rnacentral:rRNA from 1 species
AACGGGGUAGAACACAGGGAUUGCCCCAGUAACGGCGAGUGAAGCGGCAACAGCUCAAAUUUGAAAUCUGGCCCCUUGGGGUCCGAGUUGUAAUUUGUAGAGGAUGCUUUUGAUGAGGCGCCGCCUGAGUUCCCUGGAACGGGACGCCAUAGAGGGUGAGAGCCCCGUCUGGCUGGCCGCCGAGUCUCUGUAAAGCUCCUUCGACGAGUCGAGUAGUUUGGGAAUGCUGCUCAAAAUGGGAGGUAUAUGUCUUCUAAAGCUAAAUACCGGCCAGAGACCGAUAGCGCACAAGUAGAGUGAUCGAAAGAUGAAAAGCACUUUGAAAAGAGGGUUAAAUAGUACGUGAAAUUGUUGAAAGGGAAGCACUUGUGACCAGACUUGGGCUUGGCGAAUCAUCCGGCGUUCUCGCCGGUGCACUUUGCCUCGUCCAGGCCAGCAUCAGUUCGUCGCGGGGGACAAAGGCUUCGGGAACGUGGCUCCUCCGGGAGUGUUAUAGCCCGCUGCGUAAUACCCUGCGGUGGACUGAGGUUCGCGCAUCUGCAAGGAUGCUGGCGUAAUGGUCAUCAGUGACCCGUCUUGAAACACGGACCAAGGAGUCGUCUUCGUAUGCGAGUGUUCGGGUGUCAAACCCCUACGCGUAAUGAAAGUGAACGCAGGUGAGAGCUUCGGCGCAUCAUCGACCGAUCCUGAUGUUCUCGGAUGGAUUUGAGUAAGAGCAUACGGGGCCGGACCCGAAAGAAGGUGAACUAUGCCUGUAUAGGGUGAAGCCAGAGGAAACUCUGGUGGAGGCUCGCAGCGGUUCUGACGUGCAAAUCGAUCGUCAAAUAUGGGCAUGGGGGCGAAAGACUAAUCGAACCUUCUAGUAGCUGGUUUCCGCCGAAGUUUCCCUCAGGAUAGCAGUGUUGAUCUCAGUUUUAUGAGGUAAAGCGAAUGAUUAGG